UACGUAGGGUGCGAGCGUUAAUCGGAAUUACUGGGCGUAAAGCGUGCGCAGGCGGUUUUGUAAGCCAGAUGUGAAAUCCCCGGGCUCAACCUGGGAAUGGCAUUUGGGACUGCAAGGCUCGAGUGCGGCAGAGGAGACUGGAAUUCCUGGUGUAGCAGUGAAAUGCGUAGAUAUCAGGAGGAAUACCGAUGGCGAAGGCAGGUCCCUGGGCUGACACUGACGCUCAUGCACGAAAGCGUGGGGAGCAAACAGG
rnacentral:rRNA from 1 species